GAGUGUUACAGCUCUUUUAGAAUUUUUCUAGCAGGCUUUCCGGUCUUUACCGGAAAGCCUAU
ensembl:snRNA RNU7-12P RNA, U7 small nuclear 12 pseudogene